GAAUACGAAGCGAUAAAUUGCAAUUAGUUUCGACCUAAUCUUAGAUGUCACUGUGCAUCCUUAUUCU
rnacentral:tRNA from 1 species